CCUCUAUUCUAAUCUAUCCUAAUGCCAAACCCUCAUCCCCACCCUAAAAUUCUUAACAUCCUCGCUCCUAUCCUACAAAUCAACCUAAUGACUUCAAAAAAAGAUUUAUUUUUUGAAUAAUGAGAAUAGUAAAAAAUUUAGAUCUAAUUUUUUCAAAAAAAAGUUGUAGGAGAAAGAUAGUAAAUUUAAAUUAUUUUGAUGAUUUUUGAAUUAGAUUUUUAUUUGAAAAGAUGAAUUGAUUAUCUGUGAUUGCACUGAACAAGCCAACCUAUCAUAAUCUAGUUAAAUAUUUUUAUAGUAAUUUUUGUUUUGAUCGUUCAACUUAUUCUAUUUCAUGAUAUGUUAAAGGAAAGAUUAUUGAGUUUGACAGUAGUCUUCUUGGUUAAAUGUUAGACAUUUCAUUAGAUGGUGAUAAAUACUUCAAUAGCACUUGUUGGAGUCAUCCUGAUUUAAGUUAUCAUGUCUCUAUUAAAACUAUUUUUGAGGAUGAUAGUUUAGGUUGAACUGCUAGACGUAUGCACAAUAUUGCCGUUUGAUAAUCAACUCAUUCACCAUAUGUUUAUAUUUAAUUUUCUACCUAAAAGAGGUCACAGAGAUAAUAUAUCGGAUCUAGAUAUUUAUCUCUUCAAAAUGAUUAUUUUGGG
rnacentral:lncRNA from 1 species